UACGUAGGGGGCAAGCGUUGUCCGGAAUCAUUGGGCGUAAAGAGCGUGUAGGCGGCCUGAUAAGUCGGCUGUGAAAGUCAAGGGCUCAACCCUUGAAUGCCGGCCGAUACUGUCAGGCUAGAGUCCGGAAGAGGCGAGUGGAAUUCCUGGUGUAGCGGUGAAAUGCGCAGAUAUCAGGAGGAACACCUAUGGCGAAGGCAGCUCGCUGGGACGGUACUGACGCUGAGGAGCGAAAGCCAGGGGAGCAAACGGG
rnacentral:rRNA from 1 species